rnacentral:rRNA from 1 species
GAUGAACGCUGGCGGCGUGCUUAACACAUGCAAGUCGAACGGAGUUUAUAUGAAACCUAGUGAUUAUAAACUUAGUGGCGGACGGGUGAGUAACGCGUGGGUAACCUGCCUUAUACCGGGGGACAACAGUUAGAAAUGACUGCUAAUACCGCAUAAGCGCACGGUAUCGCAUGAUACAGUGUGAAAAACUCCGGUGGUAUAAGAUGGACCCGCGUCUGAUUAGCCAGUUGGUGAGGUAACGGCCCACCAAAGCAACGAUCAGUAGCCGGCCUGAGAGGGUGAACGGCCACAUUGGGACUGAGACACGGCCCAAACUCCUACGGGAGGCAGCAGUGGGGAAUAUUGGACAAUGGGGGAAACCCUGAUCCAGCGACGCCGCGUGAGUGAAGAAGUAUUUCGGUAUGUAAAGCUCUAUCAGCAAGGAAGAUAAUGAC